GACAGAGGGGGCAAGCGUUGCUCGGAAUUACUGGGCGUAAAGGGCGCGUAGGCGGGAUGGCAAGUCGGUCGUGAAAUCCCUCGGCUCAACCGAGGAACGUCGAUCGAUACUGCUGUUCUUGAGGAUUGCAGAGGAGACUGGAAUUCCCGGUGUAGCGGUGAAAUGUGUAGAGAUCGGGAGGAACACCGGUGGCGAAAGCGGCGCGCUGGACCUCUUCUGACGCUGAGGCGCGAAAGCCAGGGGAGCAAACGGG
rnacentral:rRNA from 1 species